AAAGGGUGCGUAGGCGGAUGCUUAAGUCAGGGGUGAAAUCCCGAGGCUCAACCUCGGAACUGCCUUUGAUACUGGGCGUCUUGAGUCCGGAAGAGGUGAGUGGAACUGCGAGUGUAGAGGUGAAAUUCGUAGAUAUUCGCAAGAACACCGGUGGCGAAGGCGGCUCACUGGUCCGGAACUGACGCUGAGGCACGACAGCGUGGGGAGCAAACAGGAUUAGAUACCCUUGU
rnacentral:rRNA from 1 species